CCCUUAGAUGCUCUGGGCCGCACGCGCGCUACACUGGUCGAUGCAACGAGUUUCUUUCCUUGGCCGACAGGCCUGGGCAAUCUUUGAACAUCGAUCGUGAUCGGGAUAGAUUCUUGUAAUUUUUGAUCUUAAACGAGGAAUUCCUAGUAAACGCAAGUCAUCAGCUUGCAUUGAUUACGUCCCUGCCCUUUGUACACACCGCCCGUCGUACCUACCGAUUGAAUGGUCCGGUGAAAUCUCCGGACUGGCGUGAGUCGGAGCAAUCUGACAAACGCCGGAAAGUUGAUUAAACCUUACCAUUUAGAGGAAGGUGAAGUCGUAACA
rnacentral:rRNA from 1 species